rnacentral:rRNA from 1 species
AGUCGAGGGGUAUGGUUCUUCGGAACCAGAGACCGGCGCACGGGUGCGUAACGCGUAUGCAAUCUACCUUUCACAGAGGGAUAGCCCAGAGAAAUUUGGAUUAAUACCUCAUAGUAUAGCAGUCUCGCAUGAGACCACUAUUAAAGAUUUAUCGGUGAAAGAUGAGCAUGCGUCCCAUUAGCUAGUUGGUAUGGUAACGGCAUACCAAGGCUACGAUGGGUAGGGGUCCUGAGAGGGAGAUCCCCCACACUGGUACUGAGACACGGACCAGACUCCUACGGGAGGCAGCAGUGAGGAAUAUUGGACAAUGGGCGCAAGCCUGAUCCAGCCAUGCCGCGUGCAGGAUGACGGUCCUAUGGAUUGUAAACUGCUUUUAUACAGGAAGAAACACUGGUUCGUGAACCAGCUUGACGGUACUGUAAGAAUAAGGAUCGGCUAACUCCGUGCCAGCAGCCGCGGUAAUACGGAGGAUCCAAGCGUUAUCCGGAAUCAUUGGGUUUAAAGGGUCCGUAGGCGGUCAGAUAAGUCAGUGGUGAAAGCCCAUCGCUCAACGGUGGAACGGCCAUUGAUACUGUCUGACUUGAAUUAUUAGGAAGUAACUAGAAUAUGUAGUGUAGCGGUGAAAUGCUUAGAGAUUACAUGGAAUACCAAUUGCGAAGGCAGGUUACUACUAAUAUAUUGACGCUGAUGGACGAAAGCGUGGGUAGCGAACAGGAUUAGAUACCCUGGUAGUCCACGCCGUAAACGAUGGAUACUAGCUGUUGGAAGCAAUUUCAGUGGCUAAGCGAAAGUGAUAAGUAUCCCACCUGGGGAGUACGAACGCAAGUUUGAAACUCAAAGGAAUUGACGGGGGCCCGCACAAGCGGUGGAGCAUGUGGUUUAAUUCGAUGAUACGCGAGGAACCUUACCAAGGCUUAAAUGUAGUUUGACCGUUUUGGAAACAGAACUUUCGGCAGACAAAUUACAAGGUGCUGCAUGGUUGUCGUCAGCUCGUGCCGUGAGGUGUCAGGUUAAGUCCUAUAACGAGCGCAA